rnacentral:rRNA from 1 species
UACGGAGGAUCCAAGCGUUAUCCGGAAUCAUUGGGUUUAAAGGGUCCGUAGGCGGUUUGGUAAGUCAGUGGUGAAAGCCCAUCGCUCAACGGUGGAACGGCCAUUGAUACUGCCAGACUUGAAUUAUUAGGAAGUAACUAGAAUAUGGUAGUGUAGCGGUGAAAUGCUUAGAGAUUCAAUGGAAUACCAAUUGCGAAGGCAGGU